UUAAGUGGCGGACGGGUGAGUAACGCGUGGGUAACCUGCCGUAUACAGGGGGAUACCACCUGGAAACAGGUGCUAAUACCGCAUAAGCGCACGGGAGCGCAUGCUCCUGUGUGAAAAACUCCGGUGGUAUGGGAUGGACCCGCGUCUGAUUAGCCAGUUGGCAGGGUAACGGCCUACCAAAGCGACGAUCAGUAGCCGGCCUGAGAGGGUGGACGGCCACAUUGGGACUGAGACACGGCCCAAACUCCUACGGAAGGCAGCAG
rnacentral:rRNA from 1 species